GCCGGGCACGGUGGCAUGCCUGUAGUCCCAGCUACUCGGGAGGCUGAGGUGGGAGGAUCGCUUGAGCCCAGGAGUUCUGGGCUGUAGUGCGCUAUGCCGAUCGGGUGUCUGCACUAAGUUCGGCAUCAGUAUGGUGACCUCCCGGGAGUGGGGGACCACCAGGUUGCCUAAGGAGGGGUGAGCUGGCCCAGGUCGGAAACGGAGCAUGUCAAAACUUCCGUGCUGAUCAGUAGUGGGAUCACGCCUGUGAAUAGCCACUGCACUCCAGCCUGGGCAACAUAGUGAGACCCCGUCUCA
rnacentral:SRP_RNA from 1 species